rnacentral:ncRNA from 2 species
UGGCAGUUACAUGACUGGCGGAAGAAAUGUGGAGUAUACCACAGAGGAUUGUAACUGUUGUAAAGCCGACCGCCUGGGCAAUUCAC